UACGGGGGGGGGCAAGCGUUGUUCGGAAUUACUGGGCGUAAAGGGCGCGUAGGCGGCUCGCUAAGUCGGGUGUGAAAACUCUGGGCUCAACCCAGAGCCUGCAUUCGAAACUGACGAGCUAGAGUUCUGGAGAGGAGACUGGAAUUUACGGUGUAGCGGUGAAAUGCGUAGAUAUCGUAAGGAAGACCAGUGGCGAAGGCGGGUCUCUGGACAGUUCCUGACGCUGAGGCACGAAGGUCAGGGGAGCAAACGGG
rnacentral:rRNA from 1 species